rnacentral:misc_RNA from 1 species
CUGCGAGUUCGCGGGAGAGUAGGUUAUUCUGCGAGGUUCGCGGGAGAGUGGUUAUCCGGGUUAUUAUUAUGAUACUUAAAAUUGGAGUUUAUUUAUGUGUUAUUUAAAUAACAUAAAAAAUAAAAUAUAUAUUGACAUGGAUUAAACAAAGAUAUAUAUUAUUUUAUGUUGCACAAACAAAUUGGCAAAAUAGAGAUGGAAGAUAAAAAUAUGGUCAAAGUAAUAAGAGUCUAUGGUGAAUGCCUAGGA